AGAUCUGCAAAACAAAGACAAAAAAUACUUUCGUGAGGCAUAAAGAAAACUCAGCAAAACAAACUUCAUUUUGUCUUAUUCAUUAUUCAUGUUAUUUUAGAAUUUACUUCUUGCAUGUAUUAGAAGGUACCUCAUUCAGAUCUAAAAUAGAAUAUAUUAUUGUUGCCCCCACAACUAUGUUUUUCCUAUAUUCUCAAUUUUAGCUGGUAGUCAUUCAGUACAUCCAGGUACCCAGGCUCAAAAAUCUUGGAAUAAUCCUCAAUACUCUCUUCGUUACUGCUUGGAUUUAAUCAGUCACUAGACUUUUUUGAUUUAACUACUAAAACAUCCUAAUAAAUGUUGGUUGGAUAAGUAAACCAAUGAAUACAUUUAUGAAAAAAUAAAAAAUACACAUUCUUUAUCUCAGAGGAGGAAAACAUAGAAAUGAAUUUGGAAACAAAACAAAGCAAAACAAGACUCCAUCUACACAUUGCAGCCAGACUGACUUGGAGUUUGAAUGCUGGCACCACCGCUUACAGGCUGGAUGAAUUAAGACAAUUUUCAUAGAUUCCCAGGGCCUCAGUGUUCCUAUUUCCAAACCAAUAAUAGUCAUCUUUUUAUUGCAGGGCUGUUGUAUAAAUUUACAUAUGUAAAAAUCAGGUGUCAAAUAAGAGCUAUUGUGAUAUUAGCUAUAGCACUAGGAAAAUAAACAGUAUGUUACACUUAUGAAAAUUCUUUGCUCAUCUUACACAGGGGCAAGAAAUAAAAACUCCUGGCAAUUGUUGGUGUUGCCAAUGGUGCAACAUACCAUGAAGAUUAAGGAAACUUAGCAACAGUGAACUUGGACCUGCUAAUAGCUGUCUAACCCCGAGCUCAUCACUUGAAAAUGAAGAUAUCAAACAAAAAAAGGAAAGUAUAAUUUA